UUUGUUAUUUUAGAUUUUUUUUCUUUUUUUUUUCUUUUUAAGGUAUCCUUUAAAAGUUUUACUCUGAAAUAUUUGGAUUGGAUUUGUGGGCAUGGAAAUCAAACUAAGUGCACAAAUACUAUAUGAAGUUUAAAGUAAAUUUUGAAAUGGUCAUUUAAGAGUGUAAAUGAUGUUAAAUUUGUAUGAAAUUUUUUUGCCUGUCCCAGAAUACUAAAA
rnacentral:lncRNA from 1 species